rnacentral:lncRNA from 1 species
AGAUGUUUGAAUUUUGAAAUUUUCAAAACAUCUUUUAUAUAUUGAAAGGUGUCAAGUAUAUAAGUAAUGUAAACAAAAUUAUUAAUAACGUAAAUGGGGAUACUGUAUUAUUCAUCAUGUAUUAGAAAUUUCAACAACAAAAAUUGAAUGCUGAAAAUUUUCAAAUUUUGAAUUUAUGACACAUUUUAAAUUUUAAAAAUUAUUUUUGGUGUUGAAAAUUUAUUGGGAAUGAGAGAUAACCAAAUUAAAAAAAAUAGAUUUUUUAAAUGUUUGACACAAAAAAUGAAUAUUAGAGAUUUUGUAAAAGUAUAAUUAAAGAAGUAUAGAGUUAAUUUUUCCUCUUUUUAUUAUUGUUGUUAUCUUGUGUCAAAAAUAGUAAGAGAGAGAGUUUUGGUUAAGGUGAGUGAUGAUAGCUAUGAGAUUUUUCUAUUCUCAUCUCAUGUGAGAGAAAAGGGUGAGAGAAAUAAGGUUGACGAUUUAGAGAUCGGGUAAAAUGUUACUUGUAUUUUGUACUAAAAAAAUUUAUGGGUACUAGGUUCAGACAGAUUCGAGUGCCGAGAGUGAUUUUUUCGUGGAUCAAAUCGUUGUAUUAGGCCUAUUGAACCGCUGACCCGUUUAAACAAGUCCAAUUCGGAAUUUUGCUUACGGUUCUUUGUCUACUGAUCAAAGCAUUUUGGUACAUGUUUCUAACUUUUUAUUGUGACAUUUUUUUUAGCUUGUUUCUAAACUUUGGGUCGAAAUUGAAUUUUAAUUUUAUUAUUUGCAUAUUGACCCCUGCUCAACUUGAGCUCUGGAUAUCAAAUUGACGCAUGCGAGUAGGUGUUGUAAAACUAAAAAUCAGAGCCACAAAUUUUGUGUUGGAAUAAAAACCUAAUUUGAACUUUACUAGGCCUGAAUUGCAGAUUUCGUUAUAUGGGCUUUUGUACUAAUUUUAAGUAGUAGACCAUUUGUUUUAGAAAAUUUUACCCUGUACCCCCAUUUUUAUACCUGUACCCCCAUAAUUUUUUGAAAAUGCCAAGUAUACCCUUAAUGUUUUUUUUUAAUUUUUUUUACUGUUUCAUUUUUUUCAGAAUCAGAAAAAAGAUUUUCAGUACACAUUUGAUUUCCG